GGUUAUCGUGUCCAGGGCCCUACUCAAGCAUCAGAAGAUGAGGAUUAUAGGGGUGAUGAGCCACAGCCAGAGCAUCUGCCUCCUCAGCCACAGCUUCCCCUUCCUCAGGCAGAGCCUCCUCUUCCUCAGCCUGGCCGCUUGUCUAGACAACGCACUUCUGCUCCCCUCCCUCGGCCACGGUCUUCAUCGGACACUGAGUCCCCUGUAAAGAGCCCUCAACCCAAAAGAA